GUAUUGUUGGCUGUAUUAUACUGGUGGCUUGCGCAGUGACCAUUAUUAAGUACUGCUGCUGUCGCUCUAAUCUUCAAACUACUACAGUUGUUCAACCCGGCAUACAACCAACAGUCAGCGUAAUAUCUACAAGUCAGCAACAAAUGCAACCACAACCCCAACAAUAUAGCGGUGAUAUGAUGCAGUACCCGCUCCAGGCGUAUCCACCCCCGGGAGCAGGCAUGAAUGGUGGAUACACAGCAUAUUCGCCCCCGGAAGGGCCACAGCCACCAUACUAAUCUCGAACAUUUCGACUGUGCAUGGCUAGUGUACCUUCUAGAAAUUCGACCGCGUGUUUCAGGCUACUUACAUCGAACUAAUAUUUUUAAAUUCUACUUUUCUUGGUCACUGUGACAGAUAUGUUCCGUAUACUUUGUACUAUAAUAUAAAUCGUGAAAUUCCUAUUAACACACAGUGUAAAGUCAAUAACUCUAAAAAAAUUUAGAUAGGUCCCUUUUUGUUUUGAAAUAAAAUACAUUUAGUCAUUACAAACAUCAAAAUGACCAGAAAAAAAACAUUAGAUUUGCAAAAAAUCUACAUUUAACAUUACAAAAAUAAAGCUAUAAUAGCAGAACAUAUUUUCACUGCCUUGAUUACUGACAUGACUAUUGUUAUUAACACUUUACAACAUUAAAUUGUAAUAUCCAG